CGUUAAUCUGAAGUCAAACUUGUUCUUUGAUACACCGUGAAAUAACUUACAUGUAUUAGGGAAAUUAACUCGUAUUAUUUGAUUAUUAGAGGUGGUUUUGGUAUUUAUAAGGCGCCGCCUUAUCGCGCGGUGUGGUAGUACCUUAGAAUUUUGGGAAAAAGAAGACAUCUUUAAAAAUGGAGGCGCUGUUGAGAAUUUUCGUUCUCAUUGCUGCUAUAAUGGCUUUUAUUGAGAGUAUCGAAGCAUGGUUUCCAUACGGAUACCCGGGUUAUAUUCCUGGGUAUAA